rnacentral:rRNA from 1 species
UAAUACGGAGGGUGCAAGCGUUAAUCGGAAUCACUGGGCGUAAAGCGCGCGUAGGCGGUCUAGUCAGUCAGAUGUGAAAGCCCCGGGCUCAACCUGGGAAUUGCAUUUGAAACAGCUAGACUAGAGUGUGGUAGAGGGAAGUGGAAUUCCGAGUGUAGCGGUGAAAUGCGUAGAGAUUCGGAGGAACAUCAGUGGCGAAGGCGACUUCCUGGACCAACACUGACGCUGAGGUGCGAAAGCGUGGGGAGCGAACAGGAUUAGAUACCCUGGUAGUCCACGCCGUAAACGAUGUCUACUAGCCGUCGGGGAGCUUGACUCCUUGGUGGCGCAGCUAACGCGAUAAGUAGACCGCCUGGGGAGUACGGCCGCAAGGCUA